rnacentral:pre_miRNA from 7 species
UCUUUAGGUAGUGAAGAUCUAUAGGUCCAUAUCUUUAGGACCAUCUCUUAGUGAAAGACCCCCGAAGGGAGACCCUCACUCAAGCCUCGGGACAGCCGUGGACCCAAGAAGACACUGAGACCG